AAAAAAAAUAGAGUUAUCAUAAAAUGAGCUAUAAUUAUAGUUUUGAUAAUUUCUGUAACUUUUCAAGUCCACAUGAUGCAAAAAAUGAAAAGUCUCGAAAUAUGCAUCAUGCUGACAUGACACUGUUUCAAAAGAGAAAAGAAGAAACUGGAAAAAAUAGAAAAUUGAAAGUAAAAAAUUUAUUUGUAAAUGAUAAACACGAUUGUUUACCAGGAUUAAAUAUACUUAAUUAUCAAAUUACUAAAAAGUGUUCAUUAAAUGUUUUUAAGAGUAUAAAGGUAACUAAAAUCAAUAGCAAAAUUUUUAAAAAAGACAGCUUACAGGGUGUAAUGAAAAACCAAAUAAAAUAUAAAGUAAAAAAUCAAAAUAUAAGAGAGAAUGAUAAAUGUGAAGAGAAAGCAAAAGAAGGACAGGAAGAUUUAUAUUAUUGUACAUCAAUAUCAAACAAGUAUGAUAUAAAUCUGUAUAGUGACCUUCAAUUAUUCGACAAAAGUUGUGCAAAUAUAAAAUCAAAAUAUAGUAUGGGGACAAAAUGUAAUUUAUAUAAAGCAAAAGGAGAAAAAAAACAAAAAAGUAUAACAAUGCACAACUUAAAUACCUUAAAUAAUAAAAGCAAUAUAGAAUAUGUAAACAAAACUACACAAAAUAGUGUUUAUGAUAUAAUAGGAAAAAAAAAAAAAAAUCAAACGCUUCCUCUUAAAGUAAAUGAAAAAAAAAAUUCGUUUACAGAAAAAUGUAUUUUUUAUAUGCGGGAUGAUAUGUUAGAUUGUGUUGAUUCUUAUAAUAACAAUAGUAUUAAUGAAAUGCCAAAAAAUCAAAUUGAAAAACAUACAAAUAAUUUACUUAAAAAAUGUGAUUAUGAAAAUCCUACAAAUUGUUGUGACAAAACAAAAUGUGAUGACGUAGCGUAUGUUAAGAUAAAAGAUUUUAAAAAAAAAAAAAAAAGCGGCAUUUUUUUAGAAAAUGAUAACAAUAAUAAUUACAAUAAUGCUAAUGAUAGUAGUGGCAGUUGUAGUAGUAGUAAUAGCGUUUACAAUAAUAAUGCUUAUCAUAUUAGUAGUAAUAAUGAUUUGUUGCAUAUUUCACAUAAACGCAAUCGAAAAAUGCAUUACCAAGAAAGUAAAUGCUUAACAUAUGACGAUUAUCAUUUAAAAAAAAGAAUUUUGUUAACAAAUAAAAGUGACAUACUAUAUACAAAAAGUGUAAGUCCAUUUUUUUAUGACCAUAAAACUAAUAAUAAAUUUAUGAAAAUUCUUAC
rnacentral:lncRNA from 1 species